AGCGAACGCUGGCGGCAGGCUUAACACAUGCAAGUCGAACGGGCAUAGCAAUAUGUCAGUGGCAGACGGGUGAGUAACGCGUGGGGACGUACCUUUUGGUUCGGAACAACACAGGGAAACUUGUGCUAAUACCGGAUAAGCCCUUACGGGGAAAGAUUUAUCGCCGAAAGAUCGGCCCGCGUCUGAUUAGCUGGGUGGUAGGGUAAUGGCCUACCAAGGCGACGAUCAGUAGCUGGUCUGAGAGGAUGAUCAGCCACAUUGGGACUGCGACCCGGCCCAAACUCCUACGGGAGGCAGCAGUGGGGAAUAUUGGACAAUGGGCGAAAGCCUGAUCCAGCCAUGCCGCGUGAGUGAUGAAGGCCCUAGGGUUGUAAAGCUCUUUUGUGCGGGAAGAUAAUGACGGUACCGCAAGAAUAAGCCCCGGCUAACUUCGUG
rnacentral:rRNA from 1 species